rnacentral:rRNA from 1 species
CCUACGGGAGGCAGCAGUGGGGAAUAUUGCACAAUGGGGGAAACCCUGAUGCAGCGACGCCGCGUGAGUGAAGAAGUAUUUCGGUAUGUAAAGCUCUAUCAGCAGGGAAGAAAAUGACGGUACCUGACUAAGAAGCCCCGGCUAACUACGUGCCAGCAGCCGCGGUAAUACGGAGGGGGCAAGCGUUAUCCGGAUUUACUGGGUGUAAAGGGAGCGUAGACGGCAGGGCAAGUCUGGAGUGAAAGGCGAUGGCUUAACCCUCGGACUGCUUUGGAAACUGUACGGCUGGAGUGCAGGAGAGGUAAGUGGAAUUCCUAGUGUAGCGGUGAAAUGCGUAGAUAUCAGGAGGAACACUAGUGGCGAAGGCGACUUACUGGACUGUAACUGACGUUGAGGCGCGAAAGCGUGGGGAGCAAACAGGAUUAGAUACCCGGGUAGUC